CCUACGGGGGGCAGCAGUGGGGAAUAUUGCACAAUGGGCGCAAGCCUGAUGCAGCGACGCCGCGUGGGGGAUGACGGCCUUCGGGUUGUAAACUCCUUUCAGCCAUGACGAAGCCCUUUUGGGGUGACGGUAGUGGUAGAAGAAGCACCGGCUAACUACGUGCCAGCAGCCGCGGUAAUACGUAGGGUGCGAGCGUUGUCCGGAAUUACUGGGCGUAAAGAGCUCGUAGGUGGUCUGUCGCGUCAUUUGUGAAAGCCCGGGGCUUAACUCCGGGUUGGCAGGUGAUACGGGCAUGACUGGAGUACUGUAGGGGAGACUGGAAUUCCUGGUGUAGCGGUGAAAUGCGCAGAUAUCAGGAGGAACACCGGUGGCGAAGGCGGGUCUCUGGGCAGUAACUGACGCUGAGGAGCGAAAGCAUGGGUAGCGAACAGGAUUAGAUACCCCGGUAGUC
rnacentral:rRNA from 1 species